rnacentral:rRNA from 1 species
UACGAAGGGGGGCUAGCGUUGCUCGGAAUCACUGGGCGUAAAGCGCACGUAGGCGGCUUUCUAAGUCAGGGGUGAAAUCCUGGAGCUCAACUCCAGAACUGCCUUUGAUACUGGGAAGCUCGAGUCCGGAAGAGGUGAGUGGAACUGCGAGUGUAGAGGUGAAAUUCGUAGAUAUUCGCAAGAACACCAGUGGCGAAGGCGGCUUACUGGUCCGGUACUGACGCUGAGGUGCGAAAGCGUGGGGAGCAAACAGG